UGGGGAAUAUUGGACAAUGGGCGAAAGCCUGAUCCAGCCAUGCCGCGUGUGUGAAGAAGGUCUUCGGAUUGUAAAGCACUUUAAGUUGAGAGGAAGGGCAGUAAGCGAAUACCUUGCUGUUUUGACGUUACCGACAGAAUAAGCACCGGCUAACUCUGUGCCAGCAGCCGCGGUAAUACAGAGGGUGCAAGCGUUAAUCGGAUUUACUGGGCGUAAAGCGUGCGUAGGCGGCUAAUUGAGUCGGAUGUGAAAUCCCCGAGCUUAACUUGGGAAUUGCAUUCGAUACUGGUUAGCUAGAGUGUGGGAGAGGAUGGUAGAAUUCCAGGUGUAGCGGUGAAAUGCGUAGAGAUCUGGAGGAAUACCGAUGGCGAAGGCAGCCAUCUGGCCUAACACUGACGCUGAGGUACGAAAGCAUGGGGAGCAAACAGG
rnacentral:rRNA from 1 species